CCGUUUUGACCCUCAAACGGGCUGCGGAAAGUUAUGGCACGUAAAAAAGAUCGAAAGCGGAUUCUCAAGGUGUUUUUGAUGCUUUCUUAACGCCGUUAACCUCGAUGCACUUUUUCGCUCGAAACAAAACGGCAAGAAAAUCAUGUGGGCCCCACGGCCUUACACUUGGAUUGGCCGCGAAAAGGAUAUAUAGAAACGAGAGUGAUGUACUGACGGGUGCGAUCAUACCAGCACUAAUGCACCGGAUCCCAUCAGAACUCCGCAGCUAAGCGUGCUUGGGCGAGAGUAGUACUAGGAUGGGUGACCUCCCGGGAAGUCCUCGUGUUGCACCCCUUUUAUUUUUUAAUUUUUUUUAGCCUAAAACGAGUCUAAACUUGAAAACCCCAUAACUUUUGAACCGUGAGAAACUACGUCGCCCAUAGCACCAUUUCGGAAAGCCCCAGAAACCAUAAUGGGCGGUGAAUAGGGGGCGCAAUUUUUCGGGCUCAAAUUCAGCCGUUUUGACCCUCAAACGGGCUGCGGAAAGUUAUGGCACGUAAAAAAGAUCGAAAGCGGAUUCUCAAGGUGUUUUGAUGCUUUCUUAACGCCGUUAACCUCGAUGCACUUUUUCGCUCGAAACAAAACGGCAAGAAAAUCAUGCGCGGCCCCACGGCCUUACACUUGGAUUGGCCGCGAAAAGGAUAUAUAGAAACGAGAGUGAUGUACUGACGGGUGCGAUCAUACCAGCACUAAUGCACCGGAUCCCAUCAGAACUCCGCAGUUAAGCGUGCUUGGGCGAGAGUAGUACUAGGAUGGGUGACCUCCCGGGAAGUCCUCGUGUUGCACCCCUUUUUAUUUUUAAUUUUUUUUUAGCCUAAAACGAGUCUAAACUUGAAAACCUCAUAACUUUUGAACCGUGAGGAACUACGUCGCCCAUAGCACCAUUUCGGAAAGCCCCAGAAACCAUAAUGGGCGGUGAAUAGGGGGCGCAAUUUUUCGGGCUCAAAUUCAGCCGUUUUGACCCUCAAACGGGCUGCGGAAAGUUAUGGCACGUAAAAAAGAUCGAAAGCGGAUUCUCAAGGUGUUUUUGAUGCUUUCUUAACGCCGUUAACCUCGAUGCACUUUUUCGCUCGAAACAAAACGGCAAGAAAAUCAUGCGCGCCCCACGGCCUUACACUUGGAUUGGCCGCGAAAAGGAUAUAUAGAAACGAGAGUGAUGUACUGACGGGUGCGAUCAUACCAGCACUAAUGCACCGGAUCCCAUCAGAACUCCGCAGUUAAGCGUGCUUGGGCGAGAGUAGUACUAGGAUGGGUGACCUCCCGGGAAGUCCUCGUGUUGCACCCCUUUUAUUUUUAAUUUUUUUUUAGCCUAAAACGAGUCUAAACUUGAAAACCUCAUAACUUUUGAACCGUGAGGAACUACGUCGCCCAUAGCACCAUUUCGGAAAGCCCCAGAAACCAUAAUGGGCGGUGAAUAGGGGGCGCAAUUUUUCGGGCUCAAAUUCAGCCGUUUUGACCCUCAAACGGGCUGCGGAAAGUUAUGGCACGUAAAAAAGAUCGAAAGCGGAUUCUCAAGGUGUUUUUGAUGCUUUCUUAACGCCGUUAACCUCGAUGCACUUUUUCGCUCGAAACAAAACGGCAAGAAAAUCAUGUGCGGCCCACGGCCUUACACUUGGAUUGGCCGCGAAAAGGAUAUAUAGAAACGAGAGUGAUGUACUGACGGGUGCGAUCAUACCAGCACUAAUGCACCGGAUCCCAUCAGAACUCCGCAGUGAAGCGUGCUUGGGCGAGAGUAGUACUAGGAUGGGUGACCUCCCGGGAAGUCCUCGUGUUGCACCCCUUUUUAUUUUUAUUUUUUUUUUAGCCUAAAACGAGUCUAAACUUGAAAACCUCAUAACUUUUGAACCGUGAGGAACUACGUCGCCCAUAGCACCAUUUCGGAAAGCCCCAGAAACCAUAAUGGGCGGUGAAUAGGGGGCGCAAUUUUUCGGGCUCAAAUUCAGCCGUUUUGACCCUCAAACGGGCUGCGGAAAGUUAUGGCACGUAAAAAAGAUCGAAAGCGGAUUCUCAAGGUGUUUUUGAUGCUUUCUUAACGCCGUUAACCUCGAUGCACUUUUUCGCUCGAAACAAAACGGCAAGAAAAUCAUGUGGGCCCCACGGCCUUACACUUGGAUUGGCCGGGGAAAGGAUAUAUAGAAACGAGAGUGAUGUACUGACGGGUGCGAUCAUACCAGCACUAAUGCACCGGAUCCCAUCAGAACUCCGCAGUGAAGCGUGCUUGGGCGAGAGUAGUACUAGGAUGGGUGACCUCCCGGGAAGUCCUCGUGUUGCACCCCUUUUUAUUUUAUAAUUUUUUUUUAGCCUAAAACGAGUCUAAACUUGAAAACCUCAUAACUUUUGAACCGUGAGGAACUACGUCGCCCAUAGCACCAUUGAGAAAGCCCCAGAAACCAUAAUGGGCGGUGAAUAGGGGGCGCAAUUUUUCGGGCUCAAAUUCAGCCGUUUUGACCCUCAAACGGGCUGCGGAAAGUUAUGGCACGUAAAAAAGAUCGAAAGCGGAUUCUCAAGGUGUUUUUGAUGCUUUCUUAACGCCGUUAACCUCGAUGCACUUUUUCGCUCGAAACAAAACGGCAAGAAAAUCAUGCGCGCCCCACGGCCUUACACUUGGAUUGGCCGCGAAAAGGAUAUAUAGAAACGAGAGUGAUGUACUGACGGGUGCGAUCAUACCAGCACUAAUGCACCGGAUCCCAUCAGAACUCCGCAGUUAAGCGUGCUUGGGCGAGAGUAGUAGUACUAGGAUGGGUGACCUCCCGGGAAGUCCUCGUGUUGCACCCCUUUUUAUUUUUUAAUUUUUUUUUAGCCUAAAACGAGUCUAAACUUGAAAACCUCAUAACUUUUGAACCGUGAGGAACUACGUCGCCCAUAGCACCAUUUCGGAAAGCCCCAGAAACCAUAAUGGGCGGUGAAUAGGGGGCGCAAUUUUUCGGGCUCAAAUUCAGCCGUUUUGACCCUCAAACGGGCUGCGGAAAGUUAUGGCACGUAAAAAAGAUCGAAAGCGGAUUCUCAAGGUGUUUUUGAUGCUUUCUUAACGCCGUUAACCUCGAUGCACUUUUUCGCUCGAAACAAAACGGCAAGAAAAUCAUGCGCGCCCACGGCCUUACACUUGGAUUGGCCGCGAAAAGGAUAUAUAGAAACGAGAGUGAUGUACUGACGGGUGCGAUCAUACCAGCACUAAUGCACCGGAUCCCAUCAGAACUCCGCAGCUAAGCGUGCUUGGGCGAGAGUAGUACUAGGAUGGGUGACCUCCCGGGAAGUCCUCGUGUUGCACCCCUUUUAUUUUUUAAUUUUUUUUUAGCCUAAAACGAGUCUAAACUUGAAAACCCCAUAACUUUUGAACCGUGAGGAACUACGUCGCCCAUAGCACCAUUUCGGAAAGCCCCAGAAACCAUAAUGGGCGGUGAAUAGGGGGCGCAAUUUUUCGGGCUCAAAUUCAGCCGUUUUGACCCUCAAACGGGCUGCGGAAAGUUAUGGCACGUAAAAAAGAUCGAAAGCGGAUUCUCAAGGUGUUUUUGAUGCUUUCUUAACGCCGUUAACCUCGAUGCACUUUUUCGCUCGAAACAAAACGGCAAGAAAAUCAUGCGCGCCCCACGGCCUUACACUUGGAUUGGCCGCGAAAAGGAUAUAUAGAAACGAGAGUGAUGUACUGACGGGUGCGAUCAUACCAGCACUAAUGCACCGGAUCCCAUCAGAACUCCGCAGUUAAGCGUGCUUGGGCGAGAGUAGUACUAGGAUGGGUGACCUCCCGGGAAGUCCUCGUGUUGCACCCCUUUUUAUUUUUUAAUUUUUUUUUAGCCUAAAACGAGUCUAAACUUGAAAACCUCAUAACUUUUGAACCGUGAGGAACUACGUCGCCCAUAGCACCAUUUCGGAGAGCCCCAGAAACCAUAAUGGGCGGUGAAUAGGGGGGGCGCAAUUUUUCGGGCUCAAAUUCAGCCGUUUUGACCCUCAAACGGGCUGCGGAAAGUUAUGGCACGUAAAAAAGAUCGAAAGCGGAUUCUCAAGGUGUUUUUGAUGCUUUCUUAACGCCGUUAACCUCGAUGCACUUUUUCGCUCGAAACAAAACGGCAAGAAAAUCAUGCGCGCCCCACGGCCUUACACUUGGAUUGGCCGCGAAAAGGAUAUAUAGAAACGAGAGUGAUGUACUGACGGGUGCGAUCAUACCAGCACUAAUGCACCGGAUCCCAUCAGAACUCCGCAGUUAAGCGUGCUUGGGCGAGAGUAGUACUAGGAUGGGUGACCUCCCGGGAAGUCCUCGUGUUGCACCCCUUUUUAUUUUUAAUUUUUUUUUAGCCUAAAACGAGUCUAAACUUGAAAACCUCAUAACUUUUGAACCGUGAGGAACUACGUCGCCCAUAGCACCAUUUCGGAGAGCCCCAGAAACCAUAAUGGGCGGUGAAUAGGGGGCGCAAUUUUUCGGGCUCAAAUUCAGCCGUUUUGACCCUCAAACGGGCUGCGGAAAGUUAUGGCACGUAAAAAAGAUCGAAAGCGGAUUCUCAAGGUGUUUUUGAUGCUUUCUUAACGCCGUUAACCUCGAUGCACUUUUUCGCUCGAAACAAAACGGCAAGAAAAUCAUGCGCGCCCCACGGCCUUACACUUGGAUUGGCCGCGAAAAGGAUAUAUAGAAACGAGAGUGAUGUACUGACGGGUGCGAUCAUACCAGCACUAAUGCACCGGAUCCCAUCAGAACUCCGCAGUUAAGCGUGCUUGGGCGAGAGUAGUACUAGGAUGGGUGACCUCCCGGGAAGUCCUCGUGUUGCACCCCUUUUUAUUUUUUAAUUUUUUUUAGCCUAAAACGAGUCUAAACUUGAAAACCUCAUAACUUUUGAACCGUGAGGAACUACGUCGCCCAUAGCACCAUUUCGGAGAGCCCCAGAAACCAUAAUGGGCGGUGAAUAGGGGGCGCAAUUUUUCGGGCUCAAAUUCAGCCGUUUUGACCCUCAAACGGGCUGCGGAAAGUUAUGGCACGUAAAAAAGAUCGAAAGCGGAUUCUCAAGGUGUUUUUGAUGCUUUCUUAACGCCGUUAACCUCGAUGCACUUUUUCGCUCGAAACAAAACGGCAAGAAAAUCAUGCGCGCCCCACGGCCUUACACUUGGAUUGGCCGCGAAAAGGAUAUAUAGAAACGAGAGUGAUGUACUGACGGGUGCGAUCAUACCAGCACUAAUGCACCGGAUCCCAUCAGAACUCCGCAGUUAAGCGUGCUUGGGCGAGAGUAGUACUAGGAUGGGUGACCUCCGGGAAGUCCUCGUGUUGCACCCCUUUUUAUUUUUUAAUUUUUUUUAGCCUAAAACGAGUCUAAACUUGAAAACCUCAUAACUUUUGAACCGUGAGGAACUACGUCGCCCAUAGCACCAUUUCGGAGAGCCCCAGAAACCAUAAUGGGCGGUGAAUAGGGGGCGCAAUUUUUCGGGCUCAAAUUCAGCCGUUUUGACCCUCAAACGGGCUGCGGAAAGUUAUGGCACGUAAAAAAGAUCGAAAGCGGAUUCUCAAGGUGUUUUUGAUGCUUUCUUAACGCCGUUAACCUCGAUGCACUUUUUCGCUCGAAACAAAACGGCAAGAAAAUCAUGCGCGCCCCACGGCCUUACACUUGGAUUGGCCGCGAAAAGGAUAUAUAGAAACGAGAGUGAUGUACUGACGGGUGCGAUCAUACCAGCACUAAUGCACCGGAUCCCAUCAGAACUCCGCAGUUAAGCGUGCUUGGGCGAGAGUAGUACUAGGAUGGGUGACCUCCCGGGAAGUCCUCGUGUUGCACCCCUUUUUAUUUUUUAAUUUUUUUUUGCCUAAAACGAGUCUAAACUUGAAAACCUCAUAACUUUUGAACCGUGAGGAACUACGUCGCCCAUAGCACCAUUUCGGAGAGCCCCAGAAACCAUAAUGGGCGGUGAAUAGGGGGCGCAAUUUUUCGGGCUCAAAUUCAGCCGUUUUGACCCUCAAACGGGCUGCGGAAAGUUAUGGCACGUAAAAAAGAUCGAAAGCGGAUUCUCAAGGUGUUUUUGAUGCUUUCUUAACGCCGUUAACCUCGAUGCACUUUUUCGCUCGAAACAAAACGGCAAGAAAAUCAUGCGCGCCCCACGGCCUUACACUUGGAUUGGCCGCGAAAAGGAUAUAUAGAAACGAGAGUGAUGUACUGACGGGUGCGAUCAUACCAGCACUAAUGCACCGGAUCCCAUCAGAACUCCGCAGUUAAGCGUGCUUGGGCGAGAGUAGUACUAGGAUGGGUGACCUCCCGGGAAGUCCUCGUGUUGCACCCCUUUUUAUUUUUUAAUUUUUUUUUAGCCUAAAACGAGUCUAAACUUGAAAACCUCAUAACUUUUGAACCGUGAGGAACUACGUCGCCCAUAGCACCAUUUCGGAAAGCCCCAGAAACCAUAAUGGGCGGUGAAUAGGGGGCGCAAUUUUUCGGGCUCAAAUUCAGCCCGUUUUGACCCUCAAACGGGCUGCGGAAAGUUAUGGCACGUAAAAAAGAUCGAAAGCGGAUUCUCAAGGUGUUUUUGAUGCUUUCUUAACGCCGUUAACCUCGAUGCACUUUUUCGCUCGAAACAAAACGGCAAGAAAAUCAUGCGCGCCCCACGGCCUUACACUUGGAUUGGCCGCGAAAAGGAUAUAUAGAAACGAGAGUGAUGUACUGACGGGUGCGAUCAUACCAGCACUAAUGCACCGGAUCCCAUCAGAACUCCGCAGUUAAGCGUGCUUGGGCGAGAGUAGUACUAGGAUGGGUGACCUCCCGGGAAGUCCUCGUGUUGCACCCCUUUUUAUUUUUUAAUUUUUUUUAGCCUAAAACGAGUCUAAACUUGAAAACCUCAUAACUUUUGAACCGUGAGGAACUACGUCGCCCAUAGCACCAUUUCGGAGCCCCAGAAACCAUAAUGGGCGGGUGAAUAGGGGGCGCAAUUUUUCGGGCUCAAAUUCAGCCGUUUUGACCCUCAAACGGGCUGCGGAAAGUUAUGGCACGUAAAAAAGAUCGAAAGCGGAUUCUCAAGGUGUUUUUGAUGCUUUCUUAACGCCGUUAACCUCGAUGCACUUUUUCGCUCGAAACAAAACGGCAAGAAAAUCAUGCGCGCCCCACGGCCUUACACUUGGAUUGGCCGCGAAAAGGAUAUAUAGAAACGAGAGUGAUGUACUGACGGGUGCGAUCAUACCAGCACUAAUGCACCGGAUCCCAUCAGAACUCCGCAGUUAAGCGUGCUUGGGCGAGAGUAGUACUAGGAUGGGUGACCUCCCGGGAAGUCCUCGUGUUGCACCCCUUUUUAUUUUUUAAUUUUUUUUUAGCCUAAAACGAGUCUAAACUUGAAAACCUCAUAACUUUUGAACCGUGAGGAACUACGUCGCCCAUAGCACCAUUUCGGAGAGCCCCAGAAACCAUAAUGGGCGGUGAAUAGGGGGCGCAAUUUUUCGGGCUCAAAUUCAGCCGUUUUGACCCUCAAACGGGCUGCGGAAAGUUAUGGCACGUAAAAAAGAUCGAAAGCGGAUUCUCAAGGUGUUUUUGAUGCUUUCUUAACGCCGUUAACCUCGAUGCACUUUUUCGCUCGAAACAAAACGGCAAGAAAAUCAUGCGCGCCCCACGGCCUUACACUUGGAUUGGCCGCGAAAAGGAUAUAUAGAAACGAGAGUGAUGUACUGACGGGUGCGAUCAUACCAGCACUAAUGCACCGGAUCCCAUCAGAACUCCGCAGUUAAGCGUGCUUGGGCGAGAGUAGUACUAGGAUGGGUGACCUCCCGGGAAGUCCUCGUGUUGCACCCCUUUUUAUUUUUUAAUUUUUUUUUAGCCUAAAACGAGUCUAAACUUGAAAACCUCAUAACUUUUGAACCGUGAGGAACUACGUCGCCCAUAGCACCAUUUCGGAGAGCCCCAGAAACCAUAAUGGGCGGUGAAUAGGGGGCGCAAUUUUUCGGGCUCAAAUUCAGCCGUUUUGACCCUCAAACGGGCUGCGGAAAGUUAUGGCACGUAAAAAAGAUCGAAAGCGGAUUCUCAAGGUGUUUUUGAUGCUUUCUUAACGCCGUUAACCUCGAUGCACUUUUUCGCUCGAAACAAAACGGCAAGAAAAUCAUGCGCGCCCCACGGCCUUACACUUGGAUUGGCCGCGAAAAGGAUAUAUAGAAACGAGAGUGAUGUACUGACGGGUGCGAUCAUACCAGCACUAAUGCACCGGAUCCCAUCAGAACUCCGCAGUUAAGCGUGCUUGGGCGAGAGUAGUACUAGGAUGGGUGACCUCCCGGGAAGUCCUCGUGUUGCACCCCUUUUUUAUUUUUUAAUUUUUUUUAGCCUAAAACGAGUCUAAACUUGAAAACCUCAUAACUUUUGAACCGUGAGGAACUACGUCGCCCAUAGCACCAUUUCGGAAAGCCCCAGAAACCAUAAUGGGCGGUGAAUAGGGGGCGCAAUUUUUCGGGCUCAAAUUCAGCCGUUUUGACCCUCAAACGGGCUGCGGAAAGUUAUGGCACGUAAAAAAGAUCGAAAGCGGAUUCUCAAGGUGUUUUUGAUGCUUUCUUAACGCCGUUAACCUCGAUGCACUUUUUCGCUCGAAACAAAACGGCAAGAAAAUCAUGCGCGCCCCACGGCCUUACACUUGGAUUGGCCGCGAAAAGGAUAUAUAGAAACGAGAGUGAUGUACUGACGGGUGCGAUCAUACCAGCACUAAUGCACCGGAUCCCAUCAGAACUCCGCAGUUAAGCGUGCUUGGGCGAGAGUAGUACUAGGAUGGGUGACCUCCCGGGAAGUCCUCGUGUUGCACCCCUUUUUUUUUUUAAUUUUUUUUUAGCCUAAAACGAGUCUAAACUUGAAAACCUCAUAACUUUUGAACCGUGAGGAACUACGUCGCCCAUAGCACCAUUUCGGAGAGCCCCAGAAACCAUAAUGGGCGGUGAAUAGGGGGCGCAAUUUUUCGGGCUCAAAUUCAGCCGUUUUGACCCUCAAACGGGCUGCGGAAAGUUAUGGCACGUAAAAAAGAUCGAAAGCGGAUUCUCAAGGUGUUUUGAUGCUUUCUUAACGCCGUUAACCUCGAUGCACUUUUUCGCUCGAAACAAAACGGCAAGAAAAUCAUGUGGGCCCCACGGCCUUACACUUGGAUUGGCCGCGAAAAGGAUAUAUAGAAACGAGAGUGAUGUACUGACGGGUGCGAUCAUACCAGCACUAAUGCACCGGAUCCCAUCAGAACUCCGCAGUUAAGCGUGCUUGGGCGAGAGUAGUACUAGGAUGGGUGACCUCCCGGGAAGUCCUCGUGUUGCACCCCUUUUUAUUUUUUAAUUUUUUUUUAGCCUAAAACGAGUCUAAACUUGAAAACCUCAUAACUUUUGAACCGUGAGGAACUACGUCGCCCAUAGCACCAUUUCGGAGAGCCCCAGAAACCAUAAUGGGGCGGUGAAUAGGGGGCGCAAUUUUUCGGGCUCAAAUUCAGCCGUUUUGACCCUCAAACGGGCUGCGGAAAGUUAUGGCACGUAAAAAAGAUCGAAAGCGGAUUCUCAAGGUGUUUUUGAUGCUUUCUUAACGCCGUUAACCUCGAUGCACUUUUUCGCUCGAAACAAAACGGCAAGAAAAUCAUGCGCGCCCCACGGCCUUACACUUGGAUUGGCCGCGAAAAGGAUAUAUAGAAACGAGAGUGAUGUACUGACGGGUGCGAUCAUACCAGCACUAAUGCACCGGAUCCCAUCAGAACUCCGCAGUUAAGCGUGCUUGGGCGAGAGUAGUACUAGGAUGGGUGACCUCCCGGGAAGUCCUCGUGUUGCACCCCUUUUUAUUUUUUAUUUUUUUUUUAGCCUAAAACGAGUCUAAACUUGAAAACCUCAUAACUUUUGAACCGUGAGGAACUACGUCGCCCAUAGCACCAUUUCGGAAGAGCCCCAGAAACCAUAAUGGGCGGUGAAUAGGGGGCGCAAUUUUUCGGGCUCAAAUUCAGCCGUUUUGACCCUCAAACGGGCUGCGGAAAGUUAUGGCACGUAAAAAAGAUCGAAAGCGGAUUCUCAAGGUGUUUUUGAUGCUUUCUUAACGCCGUUAACCUCGAUGCACUUUUUCGCUCGAAACAAAACGGCAAGAAAAUCAUGCGCGCCCCACGGCCUUACACUUGGAUUGGCCGCGAAAAGGAUAUAUAGAAACGAGAGUGAUGUACUGACGGGUGCGAUCAUACCAGCACUAAUGCACCGGAUCCCAUCAGAACUCCGCAGCUAAGCGUGCUUGGGCGAGAGUAGUACUAGGAUGGGUGACCUCCCGGGAAGUCCUCGUGUUGCACCCCUUUUUAUUUUUUAAUUUUUUUUUUUGCCUAAAACGAGUCUAAACUUGAAAACCUCAUAACUUUUGAACCGUGAGGAACUACGUCGCCCAUAGCACCAUUUCGGAGAGCCCCAGAAACCAUAAUGGGCGGUGAAUAGGGGGCGCAAUUUUUCGGGCUCAAAUUCAGCCGUUUUGACCCUCAAACGGGCUGCGGAAAGUUAUGGCACGUAAAAAAGAUCGAAAGCGGAUUCUCAAGGUGUUUUUGAUGCUUUCUUAACGCCGUUAACCUCGAUGCACUUUUUCGCUCGAAACAAAACGGCAAGAAAAUCAUGCGCGCCCCACGGCCUUACACUUGGAUUGGCCGCGAAAAGGAUAUAUAGAAACGAGAGUGAUGUACUGACGGGUGCGAUCAUACCAGCACUAAUGCACCGGAUCCCAUCAGAACUCCGCAGUUAAGCGUGCUUGGGCGAGAGUAGUACUAGGAUGGGUGACCUCCCGGGAAGUCCUCGUGUUGCACCCCUUUUUAUUUUUUAAUUUUUUUUUAGCCUAAAACGAGUCUAAACUUGAAAACCUCAUAACUUUUGAACCGUGAGGAACUACGUCGCCCAUAGCACCAUUUCGGAGAGCCCCAGAAACCAUAAUGGGCGGUGAAUAGGGGGCGCAAUUUUUCGGGCUCAAAUUCAGCCGUUUUGACCCUCAAACGGGCUGCGGAAAGUUAUGGCACGUAAAAAAGAUCGAAAGCGGAUUCUCAAGGUGUUUUUGAUGCUUUCUUAACGCCGUUAACCUCGAUGCACUUUUUCGCUCGAAACAAAACGGCAAGAAAAUCAUGCGCGCCCCACGGCCUUACACUUGGAUUGGCCGCGAAAAGGAUAUAUAGAAACGAGAGUGAUGUACUGACGGGUGCGAUCAUACCAGCACUAAUGCACCGGAUCCCAUCAGAACUCCGCAGUUAAGCGUGCUUGGGCGAGAGUAGUACUAGGAUGGGUGACCUCCCGGGAAGUCCUCGUGUUGCACCCCUUUUUAUUUUUUAAUUUUUUUUAGCCUAAAACGAGUCUAAACUUGAAAACCUCAUAACUUUUGAACCGUGAGGAACUACGUCGCCCAUAGCACCAUUUCGGAGAGCCCCAGAAACCAUAAUGGGCGGUGAAUAGGGGGCGCAAUUUUUCGGGCUCAAAUUCAGCCGUUUUGACCCUCAAACGGGCUGCGGAAAGUUAUGGCACGUAAAAAAGAUCGAAAGCGGAUUCUCAAGGUGUUUUUGAUGCUUUCUUAACGCCGUUAACCUCGAUGCACUUUUUCGCUCGAAACAAAACGGCAAGAAAAUCAUGCGCGCCCACGGCCUUACACUUGGAUUGGCCGCGAAAAGGAUAUAUAGAAACGAGAGUGAUGUACUGACGGGUGCGAUCAUACCAGCACUAAUGCACCGGAUCCCAUCAGAACUCCGCAGUAAGCGUGCUUGGGCGAGAGUAGUACUAGGAUGGGUGACCUCCCGGGAAGUCCUCGUGUUGCACCCCUUUUUAUUUUUUAAUUUUUUUUUAGCCUAAAACGAGUCUAAACUUGAAAACCUCAUAACUUUUGAACCGUGAGGAACUACGUCGCCCAUAGCACCAUUUCGGAGAGCCCCAGAAACCAUAAUGGGCGGUGAAUAGGGGGCGCAAUUUUUCGGGCUCAAAUUCAGCCGUUUUGACCCUCAAACGGGCUGCGGAAAGUUAUGGCACGUAAAAAAGAUCGAAAGCGGAUUCUCAAGGUGUUUUUGAUGCUUUCUUAACGCCGUUAACCUCGAUGCACUUUUUCGCUCGAAACAAAACGGCAAGAAAAUCAUGCGCGCCCCACGGCCUUACACUUGGAUUGGCCGCGAAAAGGAUAUAUAGAAACGAGAGUGAUGUACUGACGGGUGCGAUCAUACCAGCACUAAUGCACCGGAUCCCAUCAGAACUCCGCAGUUAAGCGUGCUUGGGCGAGAGUAGUACUAGGAUGGGUGACCUCCCGGGAAGUCCUCGUGUUGCACCCCUUUUUAUUUUUAAUUUUUUUUUAGCCUAAAACGAGUCUAAACUUGAAAACCUCAUAACUUUUGAACCGUGAGGAACUACGUCGCCCAUAGCACCAUUUCGGAAAGCCCCAGAAACCAUAAUGGGCGGUGAAUAGGGGGCGCAAUUUUUCGGGCUCAAAUUCAGCCGUUUUGACCCUCAAACGGGCUGCGGAAAGUUAUGGCACGUAAAAAAGAUCGAAAGCGGAUUCUCAAGGUGUUUUUGAUGCUUUCUUAACGCCGUUAACCUCGAUGCACUUUUUCGCUCGAAACAAAACGGCAAGAAAAUCAUGCGCGCCCCACGGCCUUACACUUGGAUUGGCCGCGAAAAGGAUAUAUAGAAACGAGAGUGAUGUACUGACGGGUGCGAUCAUACCAGCACUAAUGCACCGGAUCCCAUCAGAACUCCGCAGUUAAGCGUGCUUGGCGCGAGAGUAGUACUAGGAUGGGUGACCUCCCGGGAAGUCCUCGUGUUGCACCCCUUUUUAUUUUUUAAUUUUUUUUUGCCUAAAACGAGUCUAAACUUGAAAACCUCAUAACUUUUGAACCGUGAGGAACUACGUCGCCCAUAGCACCAUUUCGGAGAGCCCCAGAAACCAUAAUGGGCGGUGAAUAGGGGGCGCAAUUUUUCGGGCUCAAAUUCAGCCGUUUUGACCCUCAAACGGGCUGCGGAAAGUUAUGGCACGUAAAAAAGAUCGAAAGCGGAUUCUCAAGGUGUUUUUGAUGCUUUCUUAACGCCGUUAACCUCGAUGCACUUUUUCGCUCGAAACAAAACGGCAAGAAAAUCAUGCGCGCCCACGGCCUUACACUUGGAUUGGCCGCGAAAAGGAUAUAUAGAAACGAGAGUGAUGUACUGACGGGUGCGAUCAUACCAGCACUAAUGCACCGGAUCCCAUCAGAACUCCGCAGUUAAGCGUGCUUGGGCGAGAGUAGUACUAGGAUGGGUGACCUCCCGGGAAGUCCUCGUGUUGCACCCCUUUUAUUUUUUAAUUUUUUUUUGCCUAAAACGAGUCUAAACUUGAAAACCUCAUAACUUUUGAACCGUGAGGAACUACGUCGCCCAUAGCACCAUUUCGGAGAGCCCCAGAAACCAUAAUGGGCGGGUGAAUAGGGGGCGCAAUUUUUCGGGCUCAAAUUCAGCCGUUUUGACCCUCAAACGGGCUGCGGAAAGUUAUGGCACGUAAAAAAGAUCGAAAGCGGAUUCUCAAGGUGUUUUUGAUGCUUUCUUAACGCCGUUAACCUCGAUGCACUUUUUCGCUCGAAACAAAACGGCAAGAAAAUCAUGCGCGCCCCACGGCCUUACACUUGGAUUGGCCGCGAAAAGGAUAUAUAGAAACGAGAGUGAUGUACUGACGGGUGCGAUCAUACCAGCACUAAUGCACCGGAUCCCAUCAGAACUCCGCAGUUAAGCGUGCUUGGGCGAGAGUAGUACUAGGAUGGGUGACCUCCCGGGAAGUCCUCGUGUUGCACCCCUUUUUUUUUAAAUUUUUUUUUAGCCUAAAACGAGUCUAAACUUGAAAACCUCAUAACUUUUGAACCGUGAGGAACUACGUCGCCCAUAGCACCAUUUCGGAGAGCCCCAGAAACCAUAAUGGGCGGGGAAUAGGGGGCGCAAUUUUUCGGGCUCAAAUUCAGCCGUUUUGACCCUCAAACGGGCUGCGGAAAGUUAUGUCACGUAAAAAAGAUCGAAAGCGGAUUCUCAAGGUGUUUUUGAUGCUUUCUUAACGCCGUUAACCUCGAUGCACUUUUUCGCUCGAAACAAAACGGCAAGAAAAUCAUGCGCGCCCCACGGCCUUACACUUGGAUUGGCCGCGAAAAGGAUAUAUAGAAACGAGAGUGAUGUACUGACGGGUGCGAUCAUACCAGCACUAAUGCACCGGAUCCCAUCAGAACUCCGCAGUUAAGCGUGCUUGGGCGAGAGUAGUACUAGGAUGGGUGACCUCCCGGGAAGUCCUCGUGUUGCACCCCUUUUUAUUUUUUAAUUUUUUUUUGCCUAAAACGAGUCUAAACUUGAAAACCUCAUAACUUUUGAACCGUGAGGAACUACGUCGCCCAUAGCACCAUUUCGGAGAGCCCCAGAAACCAUAAUGGGCGGUGAAUAGGGGGCGCAAUUUUUCGGGCUCAAAUUCAGCCGUUUUGACCCUCAAACGGGCUGCGGAAAGUUAUGGCACGUAAAAAAGAUCGAAAGCGGAUUCUCAAGGUGUUUUUGAUGCUUUCUUAACGCCGUUAACCUCGAUGCACUUUUUCGCUCGAAACAAAACGGCAAGAAAAUCAUGCGCGCCCCACGGCCUUACACUUGGAUUGGCCGCGAAAAGGAUAUAUAGAAACGAGAGUGAUGUACUGACGGGUGCGAUCAUACCAGCACUAAUGCACCGGAUCCCAUCAGAACUCCGCAGUUAAGCGUGCUUGGGCGAGAGUAGUACUAGGAUGGGUGACCUCCCGGGAAGUCCUCGUGUUGCACCCCUUUUUUUUUUUAAUUUUUUUUUAGCCUAAAACGAGUCUAAACUUGAAAACCUCAUAACUUUUGAACCGUGAGGAACUACGUCGCCCAUAGCACCAUUUCGGAGAGCCCCAGAAACCAUAAUGGGCGGUGAAUAGGGGGCGCAAUUUUUCGGGCUCAAAUUCAGCCGUUUUGACCCUCAAACGGGCUGCGGAAAGUUAUGGCACGUAAAAAAGAUCGAAAGCGGAUUCUCAAGGUGUUUUUGAUGCUUUCUUAACGCCGUUAACCUCGAUGCACUUUUUCGCUCGAAACAAAACGGCAAGAAAAUCAUGCGCGCCCCACGGCCUUACACUUGGAUUGGCCGCGAAAAGGAUAUAUAGAAACGAGAGUGAUGUACUGACGGGUGCGAUCAUACCAGCACUAAUGCACCGGAUCCCAUCAGAACUCCGCAGUUAAGCGUGCUUGGGCGAGAGUAGUACUAGGAUGGGUGACCUCCCGGGAAGUCCUCGUGUUGCACCCCUUUUUAUUUUUUAAUUUUUUUUUAGCCUAAAACGAGUCUAAACUUGAAAACCUCAUAACUUUUGAACCGUGAGGAACUACGUCGCCCAUAGCACCAUUUCGGAAGCCCAGAAACCAUAAUGGGCGGUGAAUAGGGGGCGCAAUUUUUCGGGCUCAAAUUCAGCCGUUUUGACCCUCAAACGGGCUGCGGAAAGUUAUGGCACGUAAAAAAGAUCGAAAGCGGAUUCUCAAGGUGUUUUUGAUGCUUUCUUAACGCCGUUAACCUCGAUGCACUUUUUCGCUCGAAACAAAACGGCAAGAAAAUCAUGCGCGCCCCACGGCCUUACACUUGGAUUGGCCGCGAAAAGGAUAUAUAGAAACGAGAGUGAUGUACUGACGGGUGCGAUCAUACCAGCACUAAUGCACCGGAUCCCAUCAGAACUCCGCAGUUAAGCGUGCUUGGGCGAGAGUAGUACUAGGAUGGGUGACCUCCCGGGAAGUCCUCGUGUUGCACCCCUUUUUAUUUUUUAAUUUUUUUUUAGCCUAAAACGAGUCUAAACUUGAAAACCUCAUAACUUUUGAACCGUGAGGAACUACGUCGCCCAUAGCACCAUUUCGGAAGCCCCAGAAACCAUAAUGGGCGGUGAAUAGGGGGCGCAAUUUUUCGGGCUCAAAUUCAGCCGUUUUGACCCUCAAACGGGCUGCGGAAAGUUAUGGCACGUAAAAAAGAUCGAAAGCGGAUUCUCAAGGUUGUUUUGAUGCUUUCUUAACGCCGUUAACCUCGAUGCACUUUUUCGCUCGAAACAAAACGGCAAGAAAAUCAUGCGCGCCCCACGGCCUUACACUUGGAUUGGCCGCGAAAAGGAUAUAUAGAAACGAGAGUGAUGUACUGACGGGUGCGAUCAUACCAGCACUAAUGCACCGGAUCCCAUCAGAACUCCGCAGUUAAGCGUGCUUGGGCGAGAGUAGUACUAGGAUGGGUGACCUCCCGGGAAGUCCUCGUGUUGCACCCCUUUUUAUUUUUUAAUUUUUUUUUAGCCUAAAACGAGUCUAAACUUGAAAACCUCAUAACUUUUGAACCGUGAGGAACUACGUCGCCCAUAGCACCAUUUCGGAAGCCCCAGAAACCAUAAUGGGCGGUGAAUAGGGGGCGCAAUUUUUCGGGCUCAAAUUCAGCCGUUUUGACCCUCAAACGGGCUGCGGAAAGUUAUGGCACGUAAAAAAGAUCGAAAGCGGAUUCUCAAGGUGUUUUUGAUGCUUUCUUAACGCCGUUAACCUCGAUGCACUUUUUCGCUCGAAACAAAACGGCAAGAAAAUCAUGCGCGCCCCACGGCCUUACACUUGGAUUGGCCGCGAAAAGGAUAUAUAGAAACGAGAGUGAUGUACUGACGGGUGCGAUCAUACCAGCACUAAUGCACCGGAUCCCAUCAGAACUCCGCAGUUAAGCGUGCUUGGGCGAGAGUAGUACUAGGAUGGGUGACCUCCCGGGAAGUCCUCGUGUUGCACACCUUUUUAUUUUAUAAUUUUUUUUAGCCUAAAACGAGUCUAAACAUGAAAACCUCAUAAAUUUUGAACCGUGAGGAACUACGUCGCCCAUAGCACCAUUGAAAAAGCCCCAGAAACCAUAAUGGGCGGUGAAUAGGGGGCGCAAUGUUUCGGGCUGAAAUUCAGCCGUUUUGACCCUCAAACGGGCUGCGGAAAGUUAUGGCACGUAAAAAAGAUCGAAAGCGGAUUCUCAAGGUGUUUUUGAUGCUUUCUUAACGCCGUUAACCUCGAUGCACUUUUUCGCUCGAAACAAAACGGCAAGAAAAUCAUGCGCGCCCCACGGCCUUACACUUGGAUUGGCCGCGAAAAGGAUAUAUAGAAACGAGAGUGAUGUACUGACGGGUGCGAUCAUACCAGCACUAAUGCACCGGAUCCCAUCAGAACUCCGCAGUUAAGCGUGCUUGGGCGAGAGUAGUACUAGGAUGGGUGACCUCCCGGGAAGUCCUCGUGUUGCACCCCUUUUUAUUUUUUAAUUUUUUUUUAGCCUAAAACGAGUCUAAACUUGAAAACCUCAUAACUUUUGAACCUUGAGGAACUACGUCGCCCAUAGCACCAUUUCGGAAAGCCCCAUAAAACCAUAAUGGGCGGUGAAUAGGGGGCGCAAUUUUUCGGGCUCAAAUUCAGCCGUUUUGACCCUCAAACGGGCUGCGGAAAGUUAUGGCACGUAAAAAAGAUCGAAAGCGGAUUUUCAAGGUGUUUUUGAUGCUUUCUUAACGCCGUUAACCUCGAUGCACUUUUUCGCUCGAAACAAAACGGCAAGAAAAUCAUGCGCGCCCCACGGCCUUACACUUGGAUUGGCCGCGAAAAGGAUAUAUAGAAACGAGAGUGAUGUACUGACGGGUGCGAUCAUACCAGCACUAAUGCACCGGAUCCCAUCAGAACUCCGCAGUUAAGCGUGCUUGGGCGAGAGAGUAGUACUAGGAUGGGUGACCUCCCGGGAAGUCCUCGUGUUGCACCCCUUUUUAUUUUUUAAUUUUUUUUUAGCCUAAAACGAGUCUAAACUUGAAAACCUCAUAACUUUUGAACCGUGAGGAACUACGUCGCCCAUAGCACCAUUUCGGAGAGCCCCAGAAACCAUAAUGGGCGGUGAAUAGGGGGCGCAAUUUUUCGGGCUCAAAUUCAGCCGUUUUGACCCUCAAACGGGCUGCGGAAAGUUAUGGCACGUAAAAAAGAUCGAAAGCGGAUUCUCAAGGUGUUUUUGAUGCUUUCUUAACGCCGUUAACCUCGAUGCACUUUUUCGCUCGAAACAAAACGGCAAAAAAAAUCAUGUGGGCCCCACGGCCUUACACUUGGAUUGGCCGCGAAAAGGAUAUAUAGAAACGAGAGUGAUGUACUGACGGGUGCGAUCAUACCAGCACUAAUGCACCGGAUCCCAUCAGAACUCCGCAGUUAAGCGUGCUUGGGCGAGAGUAGUACUAGGAUGGGUGACCUCCCGGGAAGUCCUCGUGUUGCACCCCUUUUUAUUUUUUAAUUUUUUUUUUUGCCUAAAACGAGUCUAAACUUGAAAACCUCAUAACUUUUGAACCGUGAGGAACUACGUCGCCCAUAGCACCAUUUCGGAAAGCCCCAGAAACCAUAAUGGGCGGUGAAUAGGGGGCGCAAUUUUUCGGGCUCAAAUUCAGCCGUUUUGACCCUCAAACGGGCUGCGGAAAGUUAUGGCACGUAAAAAAGAUCGAAAGCGGAUUCUCAAGGUGUUUUGAUGCUUUCUUAACGCCGUUAACCUCGAUGCACUUUUUCGCUCGAAACAAAACGGCAAGAAAAUCAUGCGCGCCCCACGGCCUUACACUUGGAUUGGCCGCGAAAAGGAUAUAUAGAAACGAGAGUGAUGUACUGACGGGUGCGAUCAUACCAGCACUAAUGCACCGGAUCCCAUCAGAACUCCGCAGUUAAGCGUGCUUGGGCGAGAGUAGUACUAGGAUGGGUGACCUCCCGGGAAGUCCUUGUGUUGCACCCCUUUUAAUUUUUUAAUUUUUUUUUAGCCUAAAACGAGUCUAAACUUGAAAACCUCAUAACUUUUGAACCGUGAGGAACUACGUCGCCCAUAGCACCAUUUCGGAGAGCCCCAGAAACCAUAAUGGGCGGUGAAUAGGGGCGCAAUUUUUCGGGCUCAAAUUCAGCCGUUUUGACCCUCAAACGGGCUGCGGAAAGUUAUGGCACGUAAAAAAGAUCGAAAGCGGAUUCUCAAGGUGCUUUUGAUGCUUUCUUAACGCCGUUAACCUCGAUGCACUUUUUCGCUCGAAACAAAACGGCAAGAAAAUCAUGCGCGCCCCACGGCCUUACACUUGGAUUGGCCGCGAAAAGGAUAUAUAGAAACGAGAGUGAUGUACUGACGGGUGCGAUCAUACCAGCACUAAUGCACCGGAUCCCAUCAGAACUCCGCAGUUAAGCGUGCUUGGGCGAGAGUAGUACUAGGAUGGGUGACCUCCCGGGAAGUCCUCGUGUUGCACCCCUUUUAUUUUUUAAUUUUUUUUUGCCUAAAACGAGUCUAAACUUGAAAACCUCAUAACUUUUGAACCGUGAGGAACUACGUCGCCCAUAGCACCAUUUCGGAGAGCCCCAGAAACCAUAAUGGGCGGUGAAUAGGGGGCGCAAUUUUUCGGGCUCAAAUUCAGCCGUUUUGACCCUCAAACGGGCUGCGGGGAAAGUUAUGGCACGUAAAAAAGAUCGAAAGCGGAUUCUCAAGGUGCUUUUGAUGCUUUCUUAACGCCGUUAACCUCGAUGCACUUUUUCGCUCGAAACAAAACGGCAAGAAAAUCAUGCGCGCCCCACGGCCUUACACUUGGAUUGGCCGCGAAAAGGAUAUAUAGAAACGAGAGUGAUGUACUGACGGGUGCGAUCAUACCAGCACUAAUGCACCGGAUCCCAUCAGAACUCCGCAGUAAGCGUGCUUGGGCGAGAGUAGUACUAGGAUGGGUGACCUCCCGGGAAGUCCUCGUGUUGCACCCCUUUUUAUUUUUUAAUUUUUUUUUAGCCUAAAACGAGUCUAAACUUGAAAACCUCAUAACUUUUGAACCGUGAGGAACUACGUCGCCCAUAGCACCAUUUCGGAAAGCCCCAGAAACCAUAAUGGGCGGUGAAUAGGGGGCGCAAUUUUUCGGGCUCAAAUUCAGCCGUUUUGACCCUCAGACGGGCUGCGGAAAGUUAUGGCACGUAAAAAAGAUCGAAAGCGGAUUCUCAAGUGUUUUGUGUGCUUUCUUAACGCCGUUAACCUCGAUGCACUUUUUCGCUCGAAACAAAACGGCAAGAAAAUCAUGCGCGCCCCACGGCCUUACACUUGGAUUGGCCGCGAAAAGGAUAUAUAGAAACGAGAGUGAUGUACUGACGGGUGCGAUCAUACCAGCACUAAUGCACCGGAUCCCAUCAGAACUCCGCAGUUAAGCGUGCUUGGGCGAGAGUAGUACUAGGAUGGGUGACCUCCCGGGAAGUCCUCGUGUUGCACCCCUUUUUUUUUUUAAUUUUUUUUUAGCCUAAAACGAGUCUAAACUUGAAAACCUCAUAACUUUUGAACCGUGAGGAACUACGUCGCCCAUAGCACCAUUUCGGAAAGCCCCAGAAACCAUAAUGGGCGGUGAAUAGGGGGCGCAAUUUUUCGGGCUCAAAUUCAGCCGUUUUGACCCUCAAACGGGCUGCGGAAAGUUAUGGCACGUAAAAAAGAUCGAACUAUGGAUUCUGAAGGUGUUUUUGAUGCUUUCUUAACGCCGUUAACCUCGAUGCACUUUUUCGCUCGAAACAAAACGGCAAGAAAAUCAUGCGCGCCCCACGGCCUUACACUUGGAUUGGCCGCGAAAAGGAUAUAUAGAAACAAGAGUGAUGUACUGUCGGGUGCGAUCAUACCAGCACUAAUGCACCGGAUCCCAUCAGAACUCCGCAGUUAAGCGUGCUUGGGCGAGAGUAGUACUAGGAUGGGUGACCUCCCGGGAAGUCCUCGUGUUGCACCCCUUUUUUUUUUUAAUUUUUUUUUGCCUAAAACGAGUCUAAACUGAAAACCCAUAACUUUUGAACCGUGAGGAACUACGUCGCCCAUAGCACCAUUUCGGAAGAGCCCCAGAAACCAUAAUGGGCGGUGAAUAGGGGGCGCAAUUUUUCGGGCUCAAAUUCAGCCGUUUUGACCCUCAAACGGGCUGCGGAAAGUUAUGGCACGUAAAAAAGAUCGAAAGCGGAUUCUCAAGGUGUUUUUGAUGCUUUCUUAACGCCGUUAACCUCGAUGCACUUUUUUUCGCUCGAAACAAAACGGCAAGAAAAUCAUGCGCGCCCCACGGCCUUACACUUGGAUUGGCCGCGAAAAGGAUAUAUAGAAACGAGAGUGAUGUACUGACGGGUGCGAUCAUACCAGCACUAAUGCACCGGAUCCCAUCAGAACUCCGCAGUCAAGCGUGCUUGGGCGAGAGUAGUACUAGGAUGGGUGACCUCCCGGGAAGUCCUCGUGUUGCACCCCUUUUUAUUUUUUUAAUUUUUUUUUAGCCUAAAACGAGUCUAAACUUGAAAACCUCAUAACUUUUGAACCGUGAGGAACUACGUCGCCCAUAGCACCAUUUCGGAGAGCCCCAGAAACCAUAAUGGGCGGUGAAUAGGGGGCGCAAUUUUUCGGGCUCAAAUUCAGCCGUUUUGACCCUCAAACGGGCUGCGGAAAGUUAUGGCACGUAAAAAAGAUCGAAAGCGGAUUCUCAAGUGUUUUUGAUGCUUUCUUAACGCCGUUAACCUCGAUGCACUUUUUCGCUCGAAACAAAACGGCAAGAAAAUCAUGCGCGCCCCACGGCCUUACACUUGGAUUGGCGCGAAAAGGAUAUAUAGAAACGAGAGUGAUGUACUGACGGGUGCGAUCAUACCAGCACUAAUGCACCGGAUCCCAUCAGAACUCCGCAGUUAAGCGUGCUUGGGCGAGAGUAGUACUAGGAUGGGUGACCUCCCGGGAAGUCCUCGUGUGUUGCACCCCUUUUUAUUUUUAAUUUUUUUUAGCCUAAAACGAGUCUAAACUUGAAAACCUCAUAACUUUUGAACCGUGAGGAACUACGUCGCCCAUAGCACCAUUUCGGAAAGCCCCAGAAACCAUAAUGGGCGGUGAAUAGGGGGCGCAAUUUUUCGGGCUCAAAUUCAGCCGUUUUGACCCUCAAACGGGCUGCGGAAAGUUAUGGCACGUAAAAAAGAUCGAAAGCGGAUUCUCAAGGUGUUUUUGAUGCUUUCUUAACGCCGUUAACCUCGAUGCACUUUUUCGCUCGAAACAAAACGGCAAGAAAAUCAUGCGCGCCCACGGCCUUACACUUGGAUUGGCCGCGAAAAGGAUAUAUAGAAAGAAACGAGUGAUGUACUGACGGGUGCGAUCAUACCAGCACUAAUGCACCGGAUCCCAUCAGAACUCCGCAGUUAAGCGUGCUUGGGCGAGAGUAGUACUAGGAUGGGUGACCUCCCGGGAAGUCCUCGUGUUGCACCCCUUUUUAUUUUUUAAUUUUUUUUUAGCCUAAACGAGUCUAAACUUGAAAACCUCAUAACUUUUGAACCGUGAGGAACUACGUCGCCCAUAGCACCAUUUCGGAAAGCCCCAGAAACCAUAAUGGGCGGGUGAAUAGGGGGCGCAAUUUUUCGGGCUCAAAUUCAGCCGUUUUGACCCUCAAACGGGCUGCGGAAAGUUAUGGCACGUAAAAAAGAUCGAAAGCGGAUUCUCAAGGUGUUUUGAUGCUUUCUUAACGCCGUUAACCUCGAUGCACUUUUUCGCUCGAAACAAACGGCAAGAAAAUCAUGCGCGCCCCACGGCCUUACACUUGGAUUGGCCGCGAAAAGGAUAUAUAGAAACGAGAGUGAUGUACUGACGGGUGCGAUCAUACCAGCACUAAUGCACCGGAUCCAUCAGAACUCCGCAGUUAAGCGUGCUUGGGCGAGAGUAGUACUAGGAUGGGUGACCUCCCGGGAAGUCCUCGUGUUGCACCCCUUUUUAUUUUUUAAUUUUUUUUUAGCCUAAAACGAGUCUAAACUUGAAAACCCCAUAACUUUUGAACCGUGAGGAACUACGUCGCCCAUAGCACCAUUUCGGAAAGCCCCAGAAACCAUAAUGGGCGGUGAAUAGGGGGCGCAAUUUUUCGGGCUCAAAUUCAGCCGUUUUGACCCUCAAACGGGCUGCGGAAAGUUAUGGCAGAAAAAAAAAGACCGAAAGCGGAUUUUCAAGGUGUUUUUGAUGCUUUCUUAACGCCGUUAACCUCGAUGCACUUUUUCGCUCGAAACAAAACGGCAAGAAAAUCAUGCGCGCCCCACGGCCUUACACUUGGAUUGGCCGCGAAAAGGAUAUAUAGAAACGAGAGUGAUGUACUGUCGGGUGCGAUCAUACCAGCACUAAUGCACCGGAUCCCAUCAGAACUCCGCAGUUAAGCGUGCUUGGGCGAGAGUAGUACUAGGAUGGGUGACCUCCCGGGAAGUCCUCGUGUUGCACCCCUUUUUAUUUUUUAAUUUUUUUAGCCUAAAACGAGUCUAAACUUGAAAACCUCAUAACUUUUGAACCGUGAGGAACUACGUCGCCCAUAGCACCAUUUCGGAAAGCCCCAGAAACCAUAAUGGGCGGUGAAUAGGGGGCGCAAUUUUCGGGCUCAAAUUCAGCCGUUUUGACCCUCAAACGGGCUGCGGAAAGUUAUGGCACGUAAAAAAGAUCGAAAGCGGAUUCUCAAGGUGUUUUUAAUGCUUUCUUAACGCCGUUAACCUCGAUGCACUUUUUCGCUCGAAACAAAACGGCAAGAAAUCAUGCGCGCCCCACGGCCUUACACUUGGAUUGGCCGCGAAAAGGAUAUAUAGAAACGAGAGUGAUGUACUGACGGGUGCGAUCAUACCAGCACUAAUGCACCGGAUCCCAUCAGAACUCCGCAGUUAAGCGUGCUUGGGCGAGAGUAGUAGUACUAGGAUGGGUGACCUCCCGGGAAGUCCUCGUGUUGCACCCCUUUUAUUUUUUAAUUUUUUUUUGCCUAAAACGAGUCUAAACUUGAAAAACCUCAUAACUUUUGAACCGUGAGGAACUACGUCGCCCAUAGCACCAUUUCGGAAAGCCCCAGAAACCAUAAUGGGCGGUGAGGUGAAUAGGGGGCGCAAUUUUUCGGGCUCAAAUUCAGCCGUUUGACCCUCAAACGGGCUGCGGGCGGAAAGUUAUGGCACGUAAAAAAGAUCGAAAGCGGAUUCUCAAGGUGUUUUUGAUGCUUUCUAACGCCGUUAACCUCGAUGCACUUUUUCGCUCGAAACAAAACGGCAAGAAAAUCAUGCGGCCCCACGGCCUUACACUUGGAUUGGCCGCGAAAAGGAUAUAUAGAAACGAGAGUGAUGUACUGACGGGUGCGAUCAUACCAGCACUAAUGCACGGAUCCCAUCAGAACUCCGCAGUUAAGCGUGCUUGGGCGAGAGUAGUACUAGGAUGGGGACCUCCCGGGAAGUCCUCGUGUUGCACCCCUUUUUAUUUUUUAAUUUUUUUUUAGCCUAAAACGAGUCUAAACUUGAAAACCUCAUAACUUUUGAACCGUGAGGAACUACGUCGCCCAUAGCACCAUUUCGGAAAGCCCCAGAAACCAUAAUGGCGGGUGAUGAAGGGGCGCAAUUUUCGGGCUCAAAUUCAGCCGUUUUGACCCUCAAACGGGCUGCGGAAAGUUAUGGCACGUAAAAAAGAUCGAAAGCGGAUUCUCAAGGUGUUUUUGAUGCUUUCUUAACGCCGUUAACCUCGAUGCACUUUUUCGCUCGAAACAAAACGGCAAGAAAAUCAUGCGCGCCCCCACGGCCUUACACUUGGAUUGGCCGCGCGAAAAGGAUAUAUAGAAACGAGAGUGAUGUACUGUCGGGUGCGAUCAUACCAGCACUAAUGCACCGGAUCCCAUCAGAACUCCGCAGUUAAGCGUGCUUGGGCGAGAGUAGUACUAGGAUGGGUGACCUCCCGGGAAGUCCUCGUGUUGCACCCCUUUUUAUUUUUUAAUUUUUUUUAGCCUAAAACGAGUAUAA
rnacentral:lncRNA from 1 species